GGGGAUGUUUGAGGCAGAUUUGUAACCGCCGUUUUGAGGCCAGCUUGCUGGUACCCAAACGGUGUUAGCAUUUUUUGUCUUGGCCAUUUGAGUAUGGCUUACAGGCAUUUAUUGGUUCGAUCUGAGUGUAAGUUACGGUCGCAUGCGACACGUGCUUUUCAAUUAGUUCGGUCCAGUUAAUGCUCUCGUACUCCUUCCCCAUGUAAAAGCCGGUCAUCUAUCCGACCCGUCUUGAAACACGGACCAAGGAGUUUAUCGUGUGCGCAAGUUUUUUGGUGUUAAAAACCGAAAAGCGAAAUGAAAGUAAAUGACUCUUUAGAGUCUGAUGUGCGAUCUUGUAAAAAAGUGUAGCAUGGCCCCAUUCUAACUGUUUACAGUAGGGUGGCGGAAGAGCGUACGCGGUGAGACCCGAAAGAUGGUGAACUAUUCCUGAGCAGGACGAAGCCAGAGGAAACUCUGGUGGAAGUCCGAAGCGGUUUUUG
rnacentral:rRNA from 1 species